CUACCACACCUUGCCUACAGCUUUCUUCUUAUGUAGCUGCCCUAUUACUCUUCUACAUAACCUUGUAACUAGUGUCUGUCUUACAGGAGGUGUCUGUACGGCACAGGGCCAUGCAACUAGUGUCUGUCUUACAGGAGGUGUCUGUACGGCACAGGGCCAUGUAACUAGUGUCUGUCUUAUAGGAGGUGUCUGUACGGCACAGGGCCAUGUAACUAGUGUCUGUCUUACAGGAGGUGUCUGCAUGGCACAGGGCCAUGUAACUAGUGUCUGUCUUACAGGAGGUGUCUGUACAGCACAGGGCCAUGUAACUAGUGUCUG